rnacentral:lncRNA from 1 species
CUGUUUCCUCCAUCAAACCGUGCACCUCUCCAUCCAGUACUUGUUGUCUCCUUGCUGCGCUUUCUACUGGAUCCGGGCAGUUCGUGUACUGGUAUGUUACUUCUCUGAGUUCUUCCAUUACUGCUUCCAUGGAAGGGGCAUUCGGGAGAGACUGAGAAUCGGGCGCCGUCGGCAUGAGGGGUGUUCUAGGCAGGCCACGCUCCCUAUUAUGGCCGUUGUUUGUGCCUUCCAUGCGAGUACUGUCACCUUCGUGUACCUGACGUUGGUUUUCCGAUGAGUUAGGCGGGAAGAUUUGUCGACGUCGUUUUUUGUGAGAGGCAGAGUUUCUGGUUCGCACCGUUGAGUAUGGAGGAGAGUGUUGAACAGGGAGAGGACAUCCCUCGAGUCUAGGUUCAAUCCGAUCAUUUGUUCUAUUGAUUGGCGAUGUCUGGCGCUGUGCGGGGAAGCGUAUGUUGUCCUCUGUCUCCACUUCAGUAUCAAUAGGACGCUUCCGAUAUUGUUCAGUCUUCCCAAGCGAAGGAGUCAGUUUGUUUUUUGGCCCUCUAGUACUAACUAGCGACGCCGAGAUUCGUUCACCAGAAGGCUUGCCGUGUCUAUCAAGUCUCUGGUGGAAUUCUGGCUCACGAGAAGGGCGUUUUGAUGACGCAGUUUUCGUUGAGUAGUCUCGAGUAGCAUGGAGAUCAU